GAUGAACGCUAGCGAUAGGCUUAACACAUGCGAGUCGAGGGGCAGCAUGGUCUUAGCUUGCUAAGACUGAUGGCGACCGGCGCACGGGUGCGUAACGCGUAUGCAACUUGCCUCACAGAGGGGGAUAACCCGUCGAAAGACGGACUAAUACCGCGUACACUCCAUCUUGGGCAUCCAAGGUAGAGGAAAUGAAAUUCGCUGUGAGAUAGGCAUGCGUCCCAUUAGCUAGUUGGUGAGGUAACGGCUCACCAAGGCGACGAUGGGUAGGGGAACUGAGAGGUUGAACCCCCACACUGGUACUGAGACACGGACCAGACUACUACGGGAGGCAGCAGUGAGGAAUAUUGGUCAAUGGGCGAGAGCCUGAACCAGCCAAGUCGCGUGAAGGAUGACUGUCUUAUGGAUUGUAAACUUCUUUUAGACGGGAAUAACAAGAGUCACGUGUGACUCCCUGCAUGUACCGUAUGAAUAAGCAUCGGCUAACUCCGUG
rnacentral:rRNA from 1 species